rnacentral:rRNA from 1 species
GACGAACGCUGGCGGCGUGCCUAACACAUGCAAGUCGAACGAGGUCCAAGGAAGCUUGCUUCCUGACGACCUAGUGGCGAACGGGUGAGUAACACGUGAGAAACCUGCCUCGGAGUGGGGAAUAACUCGGGGAAACUCGAGCUAAUACCGCAUAUCUUCACAUGAUCGCAUGGUCGAGUGAAGAAAGAAUUUCGCUCUGAGAGGGUCUCGCGGCCUAUCAGCUUGUUGGCGGGGUAACGGCCCACCAAGGCAACGACGGGUAGCUGGUUUGAGAGAACGAUCAGCCACACUGGGACUGAGACACGGCCCAGACUCCUACGGGAGGCAGCAGUGGGGAAUCUUGCGCAAUGGGCGAAAGCCUGACGCAGCAACGCCGCGUGCGGGAUGACGGCCUUCGUGGUUGUAAACCGCUUUCAGCAGGGACGAAAAUGACGGUACCUGCAGAAGAAGCCCCGGCUAACUACGUGCCAGCCGCCGCUGUAACAC